AUCUCAAAUCAAUGAACAAAGUAACAACGUGAAUCUUUAAAGAGUUCUAGCCAGAAGAAGACAGUCACUCUGCUCGUACGUAACCAAUCAAAUAUAAUGACGGUUACCCUCUCCCCAAAGGUUUGUACGAUAACCAAUUCUCGGGUUCCACCCCGGCAGCAGUUCCGCUUGCAGACAUUACACAUUUCGUUACAGUCCAACCAUGCCUGAAACCGUAAGUUGCAAUUUCGUCUUCGAGCCCUCGUGUUGCAUUUUAACCUUCAACCGUGUUGCAUUUCUUAGAAUCUGAAUAACCGGUUCGAAACGUGCGGCGUAAGUAAUUACAUAGGUAGAGUAACUCCCCGCGCGUGCGGGAGUCAUUAAAACUGAAUUGGUUCUUGCGGAUAUCGUUGUGCAGGCGUAUUUGCUUGACAUCUUCCAAACACCCGAUAUCGAGUUCCUUGCGUUUCAUCCUGCAUCCCAGUUGUUUACGCCUCAGGGGUACACUUAGUAGCACGAAACUUGUGGAUACCACUACAGUUACACGAACGACACCGGGUAUUCAAAUGGUAGAAUGUCAUUGGUCGCGUGUAUUCUACCAAUUAGGACUGUGAACGUCAAAGCGCGGCUGCGGCAUGUAGCGUGGGUAUGUCUCGUUGUUGUCGAAUGUAUCCCUUAGGCGCAAACAUCUGAGCUGCGCGUGGUACCCAUUCUACGGUUUGAAAUCCGCAACUGUAGAUCAAGUGCAUGUUCAUCGAAACAUUGUUUCUUGUAGGCAGUACAGUAAUUCUUUGUUUUGAAUUUCUUUUGAACACAAAACCGAAUGCGGAUCUUGGGAAAUCAUGUACAUCCAGAAACAAACAGUCGAAACUUAAUCACGUUCAAAAACAAUUGUAAUCGUCGAAUCUUGGACUUUCAUCUUCCUCUGUCACCAAUUCGUGACAAAAUCGAUAAGGAUAUAGACUGGACCAGACAUUCGCCAAAGCACUCGUCGAUUCGAGGAACGAAUAAAUCUUCCACGAAAGCGUUUCACUUUCCUCGGAAACGUGGAGCGGGUCAUCCGAAAGUUAUAUGUAAUAAGUUCCUUCCUAACGCGCGGAACCGCGGCUGUAUAACGCUUCUGGGUGUAAAAUUAGAGCCUACGGAAGGAAUCACGAUCGUUCCUCUCCGUUCGUAGUCGAAAAUCCACAGGAGCGUAGGUUCGAGUUCCCAGUCACGAAGCUCGAUGGCAGUAAAGCUCAAGGAGCGAGGCGCGGUAUGGAUACGACAGCGAAUAUCGUCUACGUCGACAUAGGACACGAAGGAGAAACUCGUUGCACUCGUACGCCGAGAAGUUCAACCAUGUUCAACCUGCGCGGCGUGCACCAACUCGGGGGAGCUGGGAAGUUUGACGGUAAACCGAGCCUGGUACGGGCGCGAGAAGAAAAUCCCGAGAACCAAAAGCGGGAAGUAGAAGAAGCGGAACGAGGCAAGGAAGACAGGAUGAAAAAGUCACGUUUGCGCCGUAGUUGCCCGUACAGUUCGUGCUAAGUAUUAUACCAAUAGAGUGAUUGAAUUCGACAGUAGAGGACAGUUUAAGAUAUAACAAAAAAAAAAAAAAAAAAAAAAAAAGAAAGAAAGAAAUUAGCAAAAAAGAGUAUGGAGGUGUAGGAGUUAUUAUGCAGGGAUAACCUUAUCUUCUAUGGCGACCAAGUAGGACAAUCCCCGAAAAGGCUCGACUAAACAAUUCAGUUCCAGAUCGUCGCUACGACCAACAACCACCCCCAGCACGAAUCUUCCCAAGCACCAAGUCCUUAACGUCGCCAUCGUCCAUACCGAAACUCCGUAAUCUUAAAGUGGACGUUACUUUCCGGGUGGAUCGGUGGUCGAGCGAGUCUAGACAAUAGUCUUAAGACGGCGAAUCGCGUGGAAAGGAGCGCGACGGGAAAGACAAGAGGGUGGAAGGACGAGGACGUCGGCUAGUGCCGAAGGGGGUGGCAAGGGUGCGCGGACAAGAGAGGGUAAAUCGUUGCAUCGGUAAUGGCCGCCAUUGUGGCUUGAUGAGGCGGCCGUGUGUGCGUGUACGUGGGCGGCUGGCAUUGUGUGGCUCCCAUCCAGCAUUCAGACGGCGGAGUCGCGAGGGCGGGGGUUAGGGACGGCAACGUGUAUUUCAGGGGUGGCACGAAACGCCGGCGCUAUCGGUCGGCGCAGGAUAGUAGGUAGCUCCACGGAUUAUGCAGAGCCGUGCGCGGGUCUCUGUCGCGGGGAACAGAGACAACGACAGGAAGCUGAAAAAGGGUGGAACAGAGACGGAAGCCAAGUCAACACGAACGCGAGCACGCGUAGUUGUACAGCCGGCGCGAGCGAGUCGUCUAGCCGAGCGUUUUGGUAGCGCUGGGAUGAACGGAGAGCGGACGAUCAGCUAGAGAGACACGGGCUCUCGCGGACCGUCGGUCGCGAGACAAUUUAUAUGCUAAUUUAUAUGCGCUUAAUAACGAUGUCCGACGGCGCUCGACACGCCCUUCGGACUGCGAGCGGUUCGAUCCAUCGGAUCGCUGCUACUGGGAAUCUUAUCGUCUAUUGCUUGUCUGUACUUCGAGUGAGGAAUCACCUUACCUGGUUAGGAAUAGUGAAUGGACUGGGUUUACGGUGCGAAUGUAAUUUCUCUGGCGCUUUUGAGGUCGAGUAUGUCUUUGAACACUUUUAGGGAGCGUUAUUCUUUCCACGAGUAUUCGCUUUUUGACGCACAUCGACGCGACGUUGGGUUGAAUUAACGAUGACGAUGGACGGCGUCCGGGCUUCGAGUGACGACUAGUUAUUCGUUGUUGUUCGUCGGUUGGUUCCGUGUCGGUGAUUGGAUAAUGAAUGAAAACGGUCGUCGAGUAAUGCGUGCUGUAUGUUAAUUGAAAAUAAGCACGCCACGAACGCGCAAAUUACGAUGGAGCGUGGCCGAACGAGUGUUCGCUUUGAAGAACUGUUAUUGGCAAGUAAAGAGGCGACAUGCUAGUUAAUUUUAAGAAUCUGAAGAAUCUGACAUGCAAAUAUUUUACUUACAAUUAAAGCUGUACAUUGAUAUAGUAAUUAAAUGUCAUCGAGUAGAAAAAAAAAA